rnacentral:rRNA from 1 species
AUUGAACGCUGGCGGAAUGCUUUACACAUGCAAGUCGAACGGCAGCACGGACUUCGGUCUGGUGGCGAGUGGCGAACGGGUGAGUAAUGUAUCGGAACGUGCCCAGUCGUGGGGGAUAACGUAGUGAAAAUUACGCUAAUACCGCAUACGAUCUAUGGAUGAAAGCGGGGGAUCGCAAGACCUCGCGCGAUUGGAGCGGCCGAUAUCAGAUUAGGUAGUUGGUGGGGUAAAGGCCCACCAAGCCAAAGAUCUGUAGCUGGUCUGAGAGGACGGCCAGCCACACUGGAACUGAGACACGGUCCAGACUCCUACGGGAGGCAGCAGUGGGGAAUUUUGGACAAUGGGCGAAAGCCUGAUUCAGCCAUUCCGCGUGCAGGAUGAAGGCCCUCGGGUUGUAAACUGCUUUUGUACAGAACGAAAAGGUUUCUACUAAUACUAGGAGCUCAUGACGGUACUGUAAGAAUAAGCACCGGCUAACUACGUGCCAGCAGCCGCCGUAA